CAGUCGAACACCUAUUAGUGCUGAUCAUAUGAUCUCCAGCCAAUCAGCUUAUCUGAAAUUGGUCAGGUGACCAUGGAUUAAAUAUCUUAAUCCACACUUAAUGCUUUAAGUUGUUAUAUAAGUGUGGAUUAAGUUGGUUUGUUAAUACACACUUUUUAUCAAACAAUCAUAAUUAGGGUUUCCACACAAAAAAUCUAAUCUCUGCAAAAUGGUAUUUUGAGUGAUUGUGCAUACAAAGCAACUAAAAUAAAGCAGGCAGCCAAAAUUUCACGUUGAAAUAUCUUUUUUUUCUUGCACAAUAUCAGCCGUAAACUCUCACCACAACUAUGCACUUGCAUGCAAUAUUUCCACUCUAAACAAAGCACACUUCAAAGUUAAAUUUCAAAACUAUUGUUGAAGCAUAGAUAAAGAAAUUUUGUGCUGCAAUUCUACACUUCAAGUGGCCUUGUAUAUGAACUACAACAACAGGUGAACAAUUUGGUGGAACUUGUCGGGUCCAAAAACUAAGAACUAAGUUUAGAGAGGUAAAAACGGAGCUGGAAGAGUCGUCACAAGUAUAGACGUUGAUGGCAUUUGUGACAUUUUAAAGGACCCUAUAACAGGAGUGAACACUUAAUACAACAAUUGCAUGUAUACUACACACAUUUCUAUGUAGUCUCUUCUGACUUUAAGAUUGCGUUAUUGUUCACAGUAUUCUGACAAUAAUAAUUUUAUUUUUCAAAGUUA